GGAGUAGCUCAGUGGUAGAGCAUCUGUCUUGUACACAGAAGGCCCUGGGUUUAAUCCUCAGCAUCUGCA